rnacentral:rRNA from 1 species
AUUGAACGCUGGCGGCAGGCCUAACACAUGCAAGUCGAGCGGAGGAACGGAGCUUGCUCCUGGAUUCAGCGGCGGACGGGUGAGUAAUGCCUAGGAAUCUGCCUGGUAGUGGGGGAUAACGUCCGGAAACGGGCGCUAAUACCGCAUACGUCCUGCGGGAGAAAGUGGGGGUUCUUCGGACCUCACGCUAUCAGAUGAGCCUAGGUCGGAUUAGCUAGUUGGUGGGGUAAAGGCCUACCAAGGCGACGAUCCGUAACUGGACUGAGAGGAUGAUCAGUCACCCUGGAACUGAGACACGGUCAAGACUCCUACGGGAGGGAGCAGUGGGGAAUAUUGGACAAUGGGCGAAAGCCUGAUCCAGCCAUGCCGCGUGUGUGGAGAAGGUCUUCGGAUUGUAAAGCACUUUAAGUUGGGAGGAAGGGCAGUAAGUUAAUACCUUGCUGUUUUGACGUUACCAACAGAAUAAGCACCGGCUAACUUCGUG